CCUACGGGAGGCAGCAGUGGGGAAUAUUGCACAAUGGGGGAAACCCUGAUGCAGCGACGCCGCGUGAGUGAAGAAGUAUCUCGGUACGUAAAGCUCUAUCAGCAGGGAAGAUAAUGACGGUACCUGACCAAGAAGCACCGGCCAACUACGUGCCAGCAGCCGCGGUAAUACGGAGGGGGCAAGCGUGAUCCGGAUUUACUGGGUGUAAAGGGAGCGUAGGCGGAUGAACAAGUCUGGAGUGAAAUCCCUGGGCUUAACCCCGGAACUGCUUUGGAAACUGUGCGGCUGGAGUGCAGGAGGGGUAAGCGGAAUUCCUGGUGUAGCGGUGAAAUGCGUAGAGAUUAGGAAGAACACCGGUGGCGAAGGCGGCUUACUGGACUGUAACUGACGUUGAGGCUCGAAAGCGUGGGGAGCAAACAGGAUUAGAUACCCCUGUAGUC
rnacentral:rRNA from 1 species